UACGAAGGGGGCUAGCGUUGCUCGGAAUCACUGGGCGUAAAGGGUGCGUAGGCGGGUCUUUAAGUCAGGGGUGAAAUCCUGGAGCUCAACUCCAGAACUGCCUUUGAUACUGAAGAUCUUGAGUUCGGGAGAGGUGAGUGGAACUGCGAGCGUAGAGGUGAAAUUCGUAGAUAUUCGCAAGAACACCAGUGGCGAAGGCGGCUCACUGGCCCGAUACUGACGCUGAGGCGCGAAAGCGUGGGGAGCAAACAGG
rnacentral:rRNA from 1 species